GGGUUAUGUUUCCAUUACGUUAAUUUUUUCGUAAAUAAGAAAUUUCUUAUUUCUCGAUUUAUCACGCAAUAUCACAUUAUUGCUACAUUUCUAUACACAGUCAGGAUCAAUAAAUAAUAUUCGUGAGAACCUCAAUACAAUGGAUGAAUCGAAAACAAUCUUGGUAACAGGUGGUACUGGUUUAGUUGGAGAAGCUAUAAAACAACUAGUUACUUCUCAAAAAAGGACUAACGAAAAAUGGGUAUUCGUUAGUAGUAAAGAUGCAAAUUUGUGUGAUCUUGAUCAAACGAGAGAACUGUUCAAGAAACACAAACCUACUCAUGUUAUACAUUUAGCAGCCAAAGUUGGUGGUCUCUUCGAUAACAUGUCGAACAAUUUGGACUUUCUAAAAGACAAUCUUCAUAUUAACGACAAUGUACUUCAAGCUAGUUAUGAGAAUGGAGUGAAAAAGGUUGUGUCGUGUCUUUCUACCUGUAUUUUUCCUGAUAAAACUAGUUAUCCCAUCGAUGAAACAAUGGUGCAUAAUGGUCCCCCCCAUAACUCCAACUUUGGCUAUAGUCAUGCUAAAAGAAUGGUUGAUGUGAUGAAUAAGGCUUAUCAUGAAAAAUACGGAUGCCAGUUUACUUCAGUCAUUCCUUGCAAUGUUUUUGGACCACAUGACAAUUAUAACUUGAAGUCUGGACACGUUAUUCCUGCUUUAAUAAGGAAAUUUUUCGACGUUAUUCAGACAGGUGGCACCCAAUUUACGGUUUAUGGCUCAGGAAAGCCUCUUAGACAGUUCAUUUACUCGAAGGAUUUGGCUAAAUUGUUUGUAUGGGUGUUGUUUGAGUAUAACGAAAUUGAGCCGAUAAUCCUUGCAGUGGAUGAAUCGGACGAAGUUACCAUUAAACAAGUGGCAGAAGAAAUCCUCAAAGCUUAUAAUUACAAGGGAGAGCUAAUAUUUGAUACAUCGAAAGCUGACGGACAAUAUAAGAAAACUGCUAGUAACUCUAAACUGAGGAAGUAUUUACCCGAUUUCGAGUUCACUUCAUUUGACAGUGCUGUAAAGGACAGUGUUGAAUGGUACCAGAAGAAUCAUGCUACAGCGAGAAACUGAAUAUAUAACGAGGGUUCUAGAGACUGUAGUAUUGAGUUAAAGGAAGAAUGAGAAUCCUCAGAAGAACGAAUAUGGUUGAAUAGUGAUUUCAACGACUUGCGACUCUGUAUUGUUGAGCAUAGAUUAAAGGUGCCAAUCACGUUGAUGGAAAUUCGCUAGUGCUGCCCAAUUACGAAGAAAGAAACUGCCCACAAGAAGUCAGAAGUCAUUCAGUUAUAUAACCCUCCCUUCUAUUUUUGAUUUAAACAUGUAUAUUCAUUGAUAUUUAUGUGAAAAAUUCAUUUACACUACUAUUUUUCCACUUAUUCUAUGACAAAAAC